rnacentral:rRNA from 1 species
UACAGAGGUGGCAAGCGUUUGUUCGGAAUUACUGGGCGUAAAGGGCGCGUAGGCGGCCCGCUAAGUCGAACGUGAAAUCCCCCGAGCUCAACUCGGGAACUGCGUCCGAUACUGGCGGGCUUGAAUCCGGGAGAGGGAUGCGGAAUUCCAGGUGUAGCGGUGAAAUGCGUAGAUAUCUGGAGGAACACCGGUGGCGAAGGCGGCAUCCUGGACCGACAUUGACGCUGAGGAGCGAAAAGCUAGGGGAGCAAACGGGG